rnacentral:rRNA from 1 species
GUACAGAGGUGCAAGCGUUGUUCGGAAUUAUUGGGCGUAAAGCGCGUGUAGGCGGCUUUGCAAGUCGGGUGUGAAAGCCCUCAGCUCAACUGAGGAAGUGCGCCCGAAACUGCAGAGCUUGAGUACCGGAGAGGGUGGCGGAAUUCCCCAAGUAGAGGUGAAAUUCGUAGAUAUGGGGAGGAACACCGGUGGCGAAGGCGGUCUCUGGGCCGGAUAUUGACGCUGAGGAGCGAAAGCGUGGGGAGCGAACAGG